AGAUUGAACGCUGGCGGCAUGCCUUACACAUGCAAGUCGAACGGCAGCACGGGAGCAAUCCUGGUGGCGAGUGGCGAACGGGUGAGUAAUAUAUCGGAACGUGCCCAGUCGUGGGGGAUAACGCAGCGAAAGCUGUGCUAAUACCGCAUACGAUCUAUGGAUGAAAGCGGGGGAUCGCAAGACCUCGCGCGAUUGGAGCGGCCGAUAUCAGAUUAGCUAGUGUGGGUAAAAGCUACCAAGGCGACGAUCUGUAGCUGGUCUGAGAGGACGACCAGCCACACUGGAACUGAGACACGGUCCAGACUCCGUACGGGAGCAGCAGGUAGGGUAAUUUUGGACUAAGUGGGCGUCGAAGCCUAGAUCCAGCAAUCGCCGCGUGAC
rnacentral:rRNA from 1 species